AGGAUUUGGUGCCUUUUUAGACCAAAUGGUCCCGAUCCAUGGCUCUAACUUGAUUGAUAUCAAGGAACUUUAUGAUAUGAAGAAAUCCUUGUUGAAAUUUUGGGCCAGGUUGCCCUUACUAGAAUUUAAGUAAUUAACGACAACUCAAUAACCACGAUAAAAAAAAAUUCAUUGUUAAAAGCAUAUUUACGAGGACUAAAAAUGUUUCUCGUGAUUUUUGAACUAUUGUCGGUAAUGAUGUGAUGUGUUCCUCGUUAAUAAUUUUGAAAAAAAAAGAAAAAAUUUACCGUCGUUAUUGUUGUAUCUGAAGCGGGGAUAACUUUCCCCUCCCGCCGUGCACUUGAACUCCAAAACAAAACCCUUGUUUCUCAAUCAAAUCUUAUUCUCAAAAAUUCAACCCAAAUCGAAGUUAAUCAAAAGUGCGUCAGAUUGAGGUUUGUUCUUUCUCCAAUUUAGAAGAUAAUCAUAAGCUAAUAAAUUGAAGGAUAAUUUUCUGCAUUUUGGUAUGUAAACAAAUCUCUUUUGAAUUACAUAAUUGUAGUUUAGGGUUUAAUUUUCAUUUAAUGUGAUGGACUUGUUAAUUUGUUGAGGAUCUAAAUUUUUUUUCUUUGUUCGAUUAUAAUUGGUUUCUUUGAUCCAUUAUUCGUUUUCAGUUUAAUAUCUUUAAUUAAUUAAAUAAUGAACCUAAAUGCUCAAAUUCGUUGAAUCCUAAUCAAUCUUAUGUAACUGAAUGGGUUUGAGUAAAUAAAUGUAAUUCGUUUUCAAUCUAAUGACUUUACUCUUAAUUUUACAUUAGUUGUUCGAUUUUAAAUGUGGUCUGAUGGUUUUCAUUCUGAUCCAUUAUUCUUCCCCUUUUAUUAGUGUAAUUUCGUUUGAUUAUUUGUGGAAUUACUCAAGAUGGGUGAUUUAUUGAAUUUGUUAUGUUAAAUUGGUAAUCUGAUUCCUUUUUUCUUAAUUUAUAUAGCUACUUGCAUGUACUUCCAAACUAUUUCCUUCUAUUUAUCUUUUAUGGGAAAUGAAUAAGUAGGAUCAUGACUCAUGAGUGUUGGCAGUAGAUGAAAUAUCAUCAAAUAAUUAAUGAUUUGUUAAGGAAGUUGGGCUAAAAACUUAAUGGGUAUGAACUAAUAUACAUGCAUACUAGCUAAAAGAAAAAAGAGGGGAAUGGGGUAUGACUAGUGUUAGCUACAAGCAGCAUAACAAUCAUUAUAUGCAACAAAACCAUAUAGCUAAUUGAAAAUAUGGAGUUGAUUUUUCGUUCUAUAAAUGUAAAUGUUUUAUUUAUAGCUAGAUAUAAUUAUAUAAUUUUUGGUUGGAUAAUUCAAUUUCUUUGUGUAAAAAAAUUAAUUACUUCACGCUAAACUGGGUAAUUGUUGCAGAAACAAUGGUUUGUUAGCCUCAAUUGGACUUGUGCACAGCCUUGAAAUGUUAUUGUUCAUGUGUUUGGAUUCUUUUGGCCUUGGUGUAUGUUUUUAGUUAUAUAAAAUUUUAUAUGCAGUGUGUAUUGUAAUUUUGGUUCUGAUCCAAUAACAAAUUUAAAGUGAUACUUAUGUUCUACACUUCUACAAAUUUUAGUUGAUGACUUGGUCAUAGAUUGCUCUUAUCUAAUUUGCUAGCCUGAUGUCUGCCAUUGAAACUUGAUGACUGACGCACUCUAAUCGAAAAAGAAUUGAUUUGAUAUGCAAUAUGCAAUUUGAUAUUAGAUAUUAUCUACUUUGAAUAAUUCAUACUUGAUUAAAUCAUAAUUAAUAGUUAUAAUCAAAAUGAUAUUCAUAUAGACUACAUAUGACUUAAUUUUGUUUGGGGAGGGAGGUUGGUGGGGGGGGGGGGGGGUAGUGGAAAGAGCCCAAAGAGGUGACCGUAUCAUAAUGUACUUUCUGUGCAGGGUUUCAGAGAAAGGUUAUUAGCAAAUCCAAAAUUUUGAAACAAAUUAGCUAUUGAAGAAGCUAUAUCACUGACAACAACUCUGCUUGCACAGUAUGAGAAACGGAAAGAAAUUUUUUUUCUGGAAAUUGACUAUGUUGUUACCGACUCACUCAGGGGAGCUGUAGUUGAUUUCUUUACUGUUUGGCUUCUAGCCCCAACCCUUUCCUUCUUAUCUUUUGAUAAGAUGGGUUCAUAUGAUAGUAUGGAUUCUCUAAAUUUGUUGGGAUCCAUCCCAGACAAUGCUUUUUAAAAAAAUCCUAUUGGGAAAAACUGGAAUCUGAUCACCGGCUUGCAUCAGUGGUUUUUGGUGGGCAGAAAGUUGUUGUAGUUGGAUUUGUAUUAAGCAUUGCUACCGUUGCUUUUUUAAAUAUCCUAUAUGCACUACGUAAUUCUAAUUAAGUGCCGAUGACUACACGGAAUAAUCAAAUUUGGUUCAUGUAGCCAACCCCACUUGUGGGAUUAAGGCUUUGAUUGAUUGAUUGGUUACGUAAUUCUAAUUGUGAUAAUUAAUACUACUUAUAUUUUAGCUUAGUGUAGCUAAUUAAGUGCUCUCUUAUAAGUGAUUGAUGGGCUCUAACAAAUAGAUGUUGAAGUGUAUAUGUUGACACCAUGCGCUUUAGCUUUGUAGAUAGGAGUUGCUACUUAGUAGAAAUGCAUGUAUUCAUGUUUGUAUUAUCAUGCUCAUUUUGUUAAGAUCAUCUACCUAAUCAUCUCUAUUCUUUGUCAAUUGGUUAGCACUUGGUAAAGAUUAUAGGCUUUAAAUUUUAUAUCAUAUGUUAGAGUAGUAGUCAGAUACUAGAGCUUAUCAUUUCUUUGGAUUCUUGUGACAUCUACCGAUCUACCUAAGUUUUUUAUGCUUGAUAUUUGUUAAUUAUCAUGAUUGUUAUUCUUUUGUAGUAUUAUUAUUGUUGGAUGUGCAGUUUACAAAUUCAAUGUUUUACAUUAAAUCAAUUUUUUUUUAUUAUUCUGACAAAAUUUUGCAGAGUAGCACUGACAAAGAGCUCAAAUCAGGUAGUAAUAACAAUUAUAACUACUAACCUUAAUUUCUAUUUUUAUGAAGUUUUUUUUAUUUUUAUAUAAUGGAAGCUAAAUUGGUACAUGAUGAAUGUAGUAUUACUUAUUUUUUGAAAUUUUCAGUUAAAAAGAGAGGUCGUAGAUGAUACGGAGUAUCAAGGCUUUGAUGUGAUUGGAAGAUAAAUCUAAUUUGGUUUACUCUCGGUCUUUAAAUUUGGCUCAAACUUUUUUUGGUUUUUCUUUUAUUGAUUAGUCUUACUGUCCUAUAGAUAGUGUGGAAUUUAGAAAGGAUGUAAUAUUGUAACGUUGUUGCUGGGUUUUAGCAGACUUGAAAUUUAAUAAUUCAUUCAAAAUUUAUUAUAA